rnacentral:lncRNA from 1 species
UCCCAGUUGCAAUUAACUUUUCUGCAAACAGCAAGUACUCAACCAACACUCCUUUGAAUUAUAAUGGCAGUCCAUCAUCACUCCCUCAAACAACUAAUGCAACUGAAACCUAAAAAUAAAAUCAACUAUAAUAAUACUCAAUUCAAUCCUACAGCCUUUAAACAACAAUUUAAUCAUUCAAGUUUUAAUUAAACCUUGCAAUGACUGAAUACGAAUUCAUGUCAAGUUAUCAACUUUAAGCAUUCUCUACCCAAGGUCAUAAUUCAAUCAAAUUCUUCUAACAAAAAGCAACAUACAUAGAAUCCGCAACAUACGCCAAUACAUAUAUAACACGCGUAUGUUAUUAAACUAUGUAUUAAUACUAACAGAUAAAGACAGAGAGAGGGAUGAGCUUACCGGCUGUAGAUACAAACACUUGAAUCUUCAUCUCUGUCUACGCCAGAACGUUGCAUUAAAUCCAAACUCUUCCGUAAAAAACAACAUGCCUGAAUCAAGCUUUUGGAGGUAGGGGAAUUCAAAAUAGACUGAAGACACACAGAGAGAGAUACAGACUGUGUGUAUACUGUAUACGUGAGAAUGAGAUAUAUGUAGUAAAAGUGAUGAGAGAGAUGCAAACGAACAGAGGGUGGGGUUCGAUUCAAU